GAUGAACGCUGGCGGCGUGCUUAACACAUGCAAGUCGAACGGAAAGGCCCAAGCUUGCUUGGGUAAUCGAGUGGCGAACGGGGGAGGAACACGUGGGCAACCGGACCUGCACUUCGGGAGAAGCCUGGGAAACUGGGUCUAAUACCGGACAGGACCACACCUUGGAUGGUGAGGAGGAAAGCUUUUUCGGUGUGGGGUGAGAUCGCGGCGUAGCAGCUUGUGGGAGGGGUAAUGGCAUACCAAGGCGAAGACGGGUAGCCGGCCUGUGAGGGUGUACCGCCGCCCUGGCUCUUAGAUGCGGCCCAGACUCCUACGGGUGGCCGCAGUGGGGAAUAUUGCUCCAUGCGCGCCGGGCUGGUGCAGCGAGGCCUCGUGUGGUAUGGCGGCCUUCGGGUUGUAGACUCCUUUCGCUAUGGUCGCAGCGUUUUGUGACGGUACCUGGAGAAGAAGCACCGGCUAACUACGUG
rnacentral:rRNA from 1 species